GUCAGGUACCCCAUGCCUAAAGGCAGGGGCUUGUGAAAGCAAGCCUGGACCUGACCAGACUCAGCCAGAGCUGAUGGAUAUAAUCAUCAAGGCUAUCGGGCUACGAUAGAGGGAAGUGUUGAAGUUCCUACCUACGGGUGCGUGCCAGCCGGUAGCUCUAGAAUUCCUGGGUUAAACAGCAAAACGGGGUGUUAUGCAGUGCUCAGGGAAAAGUACCGCCCUCUCUCAUUGUCGAGGCAAACAUUAC
rfam:Ktedonobacter racemifer DSM 44963 strain SOSP1-21 Krac_Contig206, whole genome shotgun sequence.